UGGGGAAUAUUGCACAAUGGGCGCAAGCCUGAUGCAGCCAUGCCGCGUGUGUGAAGAAGGCCUUCGGGUUGUAAAGCACUUUCAGCGAGGAGGAAGGUGGUGAACUUAAUACGUUCAUCAAUUGACGUUACUCGCAGAAGAAGCACCGGCUAACUCCGUGCCAGCAGCCGCGGUAAUACGGAGGGUGCAAGCGUUAAUCGGAAUUACUGGGCGUAAAGCGCACGCAGGCGGUUUGUUAAGUCAGAUGUGAAAUCCCCGGGCUCAACCUGGGAACUGCAUUUGAAACUGGCAAGCUAGAGUCUCGUAGAGGGGGUAGAAUUCCAGGUGUAGCGGUGAAAUGCGUAGAGAUCUGGAGGAAUACCGGUGGCGAAGGCGGCCCCCUGGACGAAGACUGACGCUCAGGUGCGAAAGCGUGGGGAGCAAACAGGAUUAGAU
rnacentral:rRNA from 1 species